rnacentral:rRNA from 1 species
UACGAAGGGGGCUAGCGUUGCUCGGAAUUACUGGGCGUAAAGGGCGCGUAGGCGGCACUGUUAGUCAGGCGUGAAAGUCCUGGGCUCAACCUGGGAACUGCGCUUGGAUACGGCAGAGCUAGAGGAUGGAAGAGGCUCGCGGAAUUCCCAGUGUAGAGGUGAAAUUCGUAGAUAUUGGGAAGAACACCGGUGGCGAAGGCGGCGAAGCUGGUCCAUUACUGACGCUGAGGCGCGACAGCGUGGGGGAGCAAACAGG